rnacentral:rRNA from 1 species
UACGUAGGGUGCAAGCGUUAAUCGGAAUUACUGGGCGUAAAGCGUGCGCAGGCGGUUAUGUAAGACAGAUGUGAAAUGCCCGGGCUUAACCUGGGAACUGCAUUUGUGACUGCAUGGCUAGAGUUUGGCAGAGGGGGGGUAGAAUUCCACGUGUAGCAGUGAAAUGCGUAGAUAUGUGGAGGAACACCGAUGGCGAAGGCAGCCCCCCUGGGUCAACACUGACGCUCAUGCACGAAAGGCGUGGGGAGCAAACGA